UCUUGUACUGACCAUUAAAUACUCAUUCUGGCACAACAGAGCUCCAGAGCAGGUGUGCAAAGUGGAAGAAACUAUGUCCAUGGGCAGGCAAUUAGGGAAUUCCACCCAGAAAUUCUCCAGAGACCUUCUUGAGAUUUUCUUGUGCUAACAUGCUUUACUUGCUAUGAGUUUUGUGUUACGCAUGGAAUAGCUUAGAUAUACAAAUUCCCUUUGCAAAUCACUUAACAUUUCAGUAGAGUACAUGGCAGAUGUGCUGGGCUGUUGAUUUCUACAAUAUCACAGUGACCUUUAUCAGUAAGCCCUUAAUGAUCCAGCUAAACCUAAUGCCUGAAAUCUGCCAUUACAUAAUCAUACAAAUUGUAUUUGGUGAACAUUCUGACAGAGUGGGUGCUCAUAACAGUAAACAGUACUGCAGAAUGCAGAUGAAAGAUACUAUCAAGCAAGUCAUCACCUAGUGAAAAUUUUUGUGGACGGUGAACUGCUGUCUAGGCAUUCAGGGAUUUGCGGUCCGCAGCAGGUCCAGCGAGCCUCCACCUCUGGUCCCACAGAUGGAGGUCUGUUGUCUGUGUCCCUCACAGCCACCUUUCAGCCCGCCAAUCAUUUACAUCUCUUUCACUCGGGCCCACGGCCCCGCCUUCCAUUCAUGGACACAAUGAUGGAAUUACACCCAAGAGACACUCAUCGAAACAUCACUCUGUACGGGAUUAUGUUUAAAAGAUUACAUUAUCCAAAUCACUGAACAGCACUGCUGCUUAGUGAAAUAACAGAUCAUUCAUUAGCAGACCUCUUUUUUUAGAGGAGUACCAACGCUUUGUGUGGUGGCUUCAAUGACGACAUAACAUGAUAAUUAUCGACAUAAAUACUUAUGAAUGCGGUGCUUAUGAAGGUAGAGAAUACUGCUGAUGGAGGAGCUAUAUGGCUCCUGUUAAAGACCAUAGAAUGUGUUAUGCACUUUUAAAGAGCAGCUGAUUGUAUGAUGAAGUUGUGCCUAUAUUUCAGUCUCCAUCCUCAGUCUUACAGGCGUAGGAUGCUGACCGCCCAGUAAAGGGAACAUAAAAGUGCACAGCUCAAGCCAUUGAUAACACUGACAAGAACCCAAACUUUAUAUUUCAAAAAAGACAGCUCCAGGACUGGGUGUAAUUAACAGAAGUACGCUGAAAAAUGUUCAGUGUUAAAUCAACUUUGAUAAGAGUAUUUAUUACU